rnacentral:lncRNA from 1 species
CGAUAAAUCCGCAAAACUCUGGUCUCAUUUUGUAUAACGUCGGGGUACCCGAAUCGCCUAGUUCGGAGGGUUGUUUCCGAUCAUAGCAGAUAAACUGUUGAAACAUCAUUGUUCGUUUUUUAUUUUUGAACAAGUAGACUACACAAGUAUUUUUUUACACAUACAUGUAGCAUGUAUACACUUACUGAUUUUCUGCCAGCAACGACAAGGG